UCGUGUCGUGAGAUGUUGGUUAAGUCCGCAACGAGCGCAACCCUCGACCUAGUGCCAGCAUUCAGUUGGGCACUCUAAGGUGACUGCCGGCUAAAAGUCGGAGGAAGGUGGGGAUGACGUCAAAUCAUCAUGCCCCUUAUGACCUGGGCUACACACGUGCUACAAUGGGCGGUACAAAGGGUCGCGAACCCGCGAGGGGGAGCCAAUCCCAAAAAGCCGCUCUCAGUUCGGAUUGCAGGCUGCAACUCGCCUGCAUGAAGCCGGAAUCGCUAGUAAUCGCGGAUCAGCAUGCCGCGGUGAAUACGUUCCCGGGCCUU
rnacentral:rRNA from 1 species